AUGUGCAAUAAAAGUUGUACUCUAUUGGUCAGGAUCCAAUGUGCAAUAGAAGCGCCAGCACGGUGCUUCAAGACUUUCAUCUACAUACAUGUUCACAAACAAUUAAAGAGAAGCCAAACUAUCUUCAAUGGAAUAGUUGAAGAAAACAAGCCUGAAAGCUAUUGCUUCUAUAUGUACAAAUAAUUCUAAGCUAUACAAAACUUUAAUUUCAUAUCUUUGUUUGCAUUGUCAUUAAUAAUUUUUUCCGUGCCCAAUUAUCUUCGCCACCAGAUGAGAACAACGUCACUGAGAUGUUGGCUAGCUUCUUUGUACUCAAUCGAGACCUUGGAACCUUCAACUGCUUUGGAGCAUUGGGAGCUUCAACUUCAUUGAACUCGCGAAAACUGUCCACAUUUUGGAACUUGGCAGUCUUUGUUGGAGUACUAUAUGCAAAAUGUCACUGCUUUGCAAUUAAAGUCUGUUCUAUUCGAGUAAAAACCGCAAAUCAAGACUUAUAAUAGUAAAAAUAUCAAAAUCAUUCUGACGACUACAAAG
rnacentral:lncRNA from 1 species